rnacentral:tRNA from 1 species
UACAUGUAGCUUAAGAUUAAAGCAUUGAUUUUGUAAGUCAAAGACUAUUAGUUAAUCAUGUAAU